UCAAUUGCACUCUACUAUAAGAGUUAUUCACAGCUCUAAGAAAAUUCAGAAUGGUUUACAAUGGAAAAUGAUGUCCAAUGAUUGUACAAGAACAUAAAUAACCAAACAGAUAAAAACAUGACCUAAAAAAAGGACACAUAAACAAGAAUGAAAACUAGAACAUUUUCAAACAAGUAUCCUUUAAAUCUUUACUACAUACUGUAAAACUAGAAGAAGAAAAAAACAACCCAAAAUCUAUGCUCCAAGGAGAAAACUCUCAGUUGACACCCAAGGGUGGGUAAUUUCUUGGAGUGUCUUUUUGUGCGCAUAACAAAAGGAAGAGUAAAAGAGCAGGAAUUUCCAGCAUAACAAGUUGGGAAAUAUAAAAGCUUAACAAAAGAAGUGUAAAGCACCAAGAAGUGGAAAUUUUAUAUAGGAAAAAAGAAGCUUUUCUGCAACAAACAAGCAGAACAUUCAUCUACAGUUACAGGUGCUGUGGGAAAUCAGAAAACACACAAGUACUUAUUGUCCCACUCCUCAUCGUCUCCAUGACAACCAUGAGAAAAUGUUUCUCUUCCCACAAUUUUGGAAUGCCAUUUCCAUCUUCUCUUCCUACUCAGUAGUUCCUUUCUGUGUGGCUGUCUGGACAUUGGAGGAUACAACCCUGAGACAAGUAUCAGAGGGGUAGCUGUGUUAGUCUGUAUCCACAAAAACAAUGAGGAGUCUGGUGGCCCCACAAGUCACCAGGAGACAGAGCAAGGUCCUGUUCAAAAAGGCUGUGCACAAACCAGAAGUUGUUCAGCAUCCUGUUUAGAAGUGUGGACACCAGAACUGGAGACAGUAUUUCAGCUGUGGACCCAACAGCUGCAAUCACAGGGUGCCAAGGCUUCUGUUCCGCAGCAGCACCAGCUGAAAGAGGCUGACAUGAAUGCUGGAGUCCAAAAUGGGAAGACCAAAAUAUCCUACUGAUGGAGGAGGACUGGGUUUGGAGAUACAGGGACCCUGAUGGCUUCCAAGAGAGUGGUUGGAAAUAUUACCAGAGGGAGAUGAAGAAGCCAUAAGGAGCCGGACCUGCAGCCAUCACACCAGGAGCUGGACCAGCCACCAGUGGACCACAACUACACUGAGAUCUACACCCCCCACAACUGCAUUAGGAUUUACUCCCACAACCACCACCACCACCACGGAACCCACUGAUGCUAGACCAGGACCAGUUAUCACCAUUGACAGCAGUCAGGGAUAGAAGAAGGCGUACAGGUGGAUUGUGAUUUGAUCUGGUGGAACUGACGGAACGUGAGAGUGGAAGAAAACCUGAUUGGAAGUAAAAUCUAGAAGAUCGCUGAAAACUAGACAACAGGCAGAAAUGAAGAGUAGCAUCUUUGCUACAGGAAAUAAGCUAUCUAACUGGGUUUUCACAUUCUUUAGAUUGCAAAGUUAAUCAGGUGGUUGUUCAAUUGGAGAGCUCCUUUUCACAACAAGGGGAUAUACAACAGGGUUUCCAUCUGUUCAGAGAGGAGCAGAGCAGUUUUAAUUUGGGUCAAAGCUGCUGUAUUUAGCUUGAACAUGAGAACAAGUGGAAAUGCAUUGCCACUACAGCAAAACAUACUAUUUUCUACUACACAGUAGAAUAAACAACACUGUGCCCCCUCCCAGAGCCAGCCUCCCAUAGCCCCUCUUACACCCCAAACUCCCUCCUGCACCCCAAGCCCUUACCCCAGCCCUGACUCCCUCUCAGAGCCAGCACCCUGUACCUCCUCCGGCACCCCAAUGCCCUGUCCCAGCCCUGACCCUCCUCCAAGAGCCAUCACCCCAUACCCCCUCUGGUACCCCAACACUAUGCCCCAGCCCAGAGCCCCCUCCUGCACCCAAACUCCCUCCUAGAGCCUGCACCCCCUCCUGCACCCCAAUGCCCUGCCACAGCCCUGAUGCCCCUCCCAGAGCCAGCACCCCGCAUCCCCUCCUGUACUCCAACACUCUGCCCCAGCCCACAGCCCCCUCCUGCACCUAAACUUCCUCCUAGAGCCUGCAACCCUCCCCGUCUCCUGCACGCCAACCCCCUGUCCCAGGCUCAGCCCAGAGCCCCCUCCCACACUGCGAACCCCUCCACUACAACCCAGAGCCUGCACCCCCUCCUGAAUGCCAACCCCCUACCUCAGCCUGGUGAAAGUGAGUGAGGGUGGGGGAGAGUGAGCAACA